UUAAUAAAACACAGUUUUAUUUUUUCCAGACACUACGUGACUUUUAGCUUCUCAUAAAACAUCAAGCUUUCCAUUUUAGGAAGAACAAAAAGAGAAGCCAUAAUCGGCAAUGUUCAAAACAAUGGCUCCCAGAUCCUAAAAUAAAUUUCAAGAUUUCAACGGAUUCUCUGCCCGAGAGUCAUCACUGCAGAGUGUGAAGGGAGAGGGACUCAUCUGGCUGCCAUCUGGCUGAUUGAGAAUAUCCAGAUUCAUUUAUAGUUAUCCUUGAUCGCUAGAAACUUAGUCGCCUGCUAAUCACACACUUACUCAGCAUGGUCCUGUGCUUGCUUGGUGAUAGGCCCUGUGUUGGAAGCCAAGGAGAAAAUAAUGCUGUGCGAUCACAGAAUAGUAUUGUUUAGACACCAACACCCCUACCAAGUGUCUUUGUUUUGCUUCCACAUCAACAAGGGGCUGGAGAGCUGGUUCAGUAACUAGGAGCCCUUGUCGCACUUCCAGAGGACCUGAGUUUGUUUCCUAGCACCCACACUGGGCAGCACACAACUACCUAUAAUUCUAUUUUCAAGGGAUCCAAUGCCCCCUCUCUGAACUCUGUGAG